rnacentral:tRNA from 1 species
GGGCUCGUCACCUAGCCAGGAUACGGUGCCGGACUUCUAAUCCGGAUUGCGUGCGUUCGAAUCGCACCGAGCCCGCCA